rnacentral:rRNA from 1 species
AACGAACGCUGGCGGCAGGCUUAACACAUGCAAGUCGAACGCCCCGCAAGGGGAGUGGCAGACGGGUGAGUAACGCGUGGGAAUCUACCCAGUUCUAUGGAACAACUGAGGGAAACUUCAGCUAAUACCGUAUACGCCCUACGGGGGAAAGAUUUAUCGGAAUUGGAUGAGCCCGCGUAAGAUUAGCUAGUUGGUGGGGUAAAGGCCUACCAAGGCGACGAUCUUUAGCUGGUCUGAGAGGAUGAUCAGCCACACUGGGACUAAGACACGGCCCAGACUCCUACGGGAGGCAGCAGUGGGGAAUAUUGGACAAUGGGCGCAAGCCUGAUCCAGCCAUGCCGCGUGAGUGAUGAAGGCCUUAGGGUUGUAAAGCUCUUUCAGUGGGGACGAUAACGACGGUACCCACAGAAGAAGCCCCGGCUAACUUCGUGCCAGCAGCCGCGGUAA